rnacentral:tRNA from 1 species
GGGUCUGUAGCUCAGUUGGUUAGAGCACACCCCUGAUAAGGUGAGGUCGGAGGUUCAAAUCCUCCCAGACCCACCA